AAUACGUAUAUUAGUGCUUCCAGCUGUAUCUGCAUCAUUUUCUAUUAUUGCAAUGCAAGUUGUAUUGAAAAAAAAAGAAGAAUCAUUGCGUAAACGACGUUGGUGGUACAGAAAACUGUUUCAUCAGUGAUUGCAGUGUGAUAAUAGAUUCGUGAAAGAUAUGCAAGGCAAACUUGUAGACAACAUAAUUAAAAUAUUCACUCGUAUGACAUUGGAGAUUCAAAAGUUACAAGAAUGGAUACCAACACGAGAAAUGCAAGUACUGUAAAGUAAAGAGUUUCCAAGUGUUCAAUAUCAGGAAUCAUUCCGAGUGCAUGUGAUGGAAUAAUUGACUCGCUUUGAGAAUAUGUUAAGAGACAAUAAGACAAUAUGCGACAAGAAACAGUAAACACGGUGUGAAGCAAAUAGAUGAAUCUUUAUUGGCAUCCAAAUACCGACUGAGCUUCCAUUCGUCACUAGCCAUUCUUGCAUUGACUCGAAUAAUACACAAUAAUUAUUCAAGUUCACACUGAUCGAAACAAAUCGUGCCUUGCCUCACACAUCAUGCCUCGCACAUUAUAUUCGCAUCAUGUAAAUCCACCUUAAAUUUAAAGAAGUAAUAUGUCCAAAAAACUACAUAUUUAUGUAUCUAUAUGUAAUAUAAAUAAUACAUCAGUAUUAAC